rnacentral:rRNA from 1 species
CAACGGCGGUGGCAGGGCAAAAACAUGCAAAGUCGAACGGCAGCACAGAAGAGCUUGCUCUUUGGGUGGCGAGUGGCGGACGGGGGAGUAAUGUCUGGGAAACUGCCCGAUGGAGGGGGAUAACUACUGGAAACGGUAGCUAAUACCGCAUAACGUCGCAAGACCAAAGUGGGGGACCUUCGGGCCUCACACCAUCGGAUGUGCCCAGAUGGGAUUAGCUAGUAGGUGGGGUAAUGGCUCAACUAGGCGACGAUCCCUAGCUGGUCUGAAAGGGGACCGGACACA